AUUUGAAUGGAGAAAAGGUCUAAUGAUGUUCCAAAAUCUCAAUUUAUGGAACUUCUUAGAUACUGGAACUCAGAAAAAUUUCAGGAAAAAGAGAGGGAAACUCAUGAUCCUCCAUCACUUGAGGAAUUUUUUUGUGGUUACAAGAAAAAGAAAACCCAAUCGAUUAUUCAAGGAUACAGAUGAAGAGUACAAUUGCUGAGAUGGAGAAUAUUAAAAUGCAACAAAAUGAAGAUGGUAAUGAGACAAUUGGUGCAUUUCCAUCUGUCACGGGAUCGAAACAUCCUGGAUGUUUGAGAUUUUAUGGAAUAGGGUUACUAAAACUACUUUGAAAGGGAAAGUGGGACUUUCGAAGCCUCAUCAAAUGCAACAAAUAAGCUCGUGAAAAAGAUAAUAGAGAGAAUGCUAAGAAUGGAAGAAAAAAUUGAGGAACUAAAGGAACAAUUUGAAGAACAAAAGAUCAUGAUGAGACAAGAAAUUUUAGAAGAUGUCAUAACAAAACUCCAUCGUUCAGGCCUACCAAUUGAUGUUAAUGUUUUAGCAACAUUACUUGAUGCUUCGUCAACACGAGAAACAACUAUUUGGUCA